GAUGAACGCUGGCGGCGUGCCUAAUACAUGCAAGUCGAGCGAACAGACGAGGAGCUUGCUCCUCUGACGUUAGCGGCGGACGGGUGAGUAACACGUGGAUAACCUACCUAUAAGACUGGGAUAACUUCGGGAAACCGGAGCUAAUACCGGAUAAUAUAUUGAACCGCAUGGUUCAAUAGUGAAAGACGGUUUUGCUGUCACUUAUAGAUGGAUCCGCGCCGCAUUAGCUAGUUGGUAAGGUAGCGGCUUACCAAGGCAACGAUGCGUAGCCGACCUGAGAGGGUGAUCGGCCACACUGGAACUGAGACACGGUCCUGACUCCUACGGGAGGCAGCAGUAGGGAAUCUUCCGCAAUGGGCGAAAGCCUGACGGAGCAACGCCGCGUGAGUGAUGAAGGUCUUCGGAUCGUAAAACUCUGUUAUUAGGGAAGAACAAAUGUGUAAGUAACUAUGCACGUCUUGACGGUACCUAAUCAGAAAGCCACGGCUAACUACGUG
rnacentral:rRNA from 1 species